rnacentral:lncRNA from 1 species
CUGGAAACAGGUGGGUAACAACUUGUUAGGGGCCCGCUGGCAUCUCAAACUUCCCCUUCGAGGCUUCAGUUUAGCCAGCGUCAAUUGGUGGAGGCAAUUCUCUGCCUUUUUCAGGAGAAAGGAUCUGACCCGAGGAAAAGCAGGCUCUUGAAAAAUCUGCAUCAGUGGGAUUAUUUACGCUUGUAUCACUGGAAUCCGCUCCGAGAUGCGGAUUUUUGCUGCCGAAAAGAUACUCUUGCUCCCCACCCCCUCCUUUCUUUUUGACAGUCAGUUAAUAAAGACUCAACAAUAAGCAGCUGCCAGUGAUGUCAUUUGGGACUUUGUCCACGGAGCUUGUAUUUACAAGCUCGGAGCAACCACGGAGCCGCAGCCGCCGGGGGAAGCGGAGUCUCCGCAAACUUGCUCUGAAUUCGCUGCAGGAACUUUGUGGCUGCUUUGCUUGGGCUGUUCUGGAAAACUGCGCUUGUUCUCUGAGCCCGGCCUUUUCAUGCUUCACAAAUAAACAGAGGAUAAACUCGAGAGGAAAUGUGGAGCUGGGGAGAGUGGUUGCAGUUCCUGUGUUUGUCUCCAGGACUGUGAUAUGUGUUGACUGCAGAGCUGACUACAAAAAGCCAAGUAGAGGAAUAGUGAUGAUAGUCCAUGUUUCUCACUGGCGAUGGACCACAUGAUGGAGAAGAGAAUCAUUUCAUCUGUCUACCUCUCCACAAACUUCAAAUACCCUAGGACCUCAUUAUAAUGCUGAUCCUGUUAAACAAAGAACACAUCCAAAUUCCAAGCCAACGUAAGAAAAAAAACGCCAGAGCAAGUGGGGCAUGGUGGAGUAGAGUGAAAUCUCGACAGAGAAUUAAACAGCCCUGCUGUAGGGCAAGCCAGCUCUAGGACAUAGGUAGGAUCAAGUAGCCCCAUCUGCAAACAUGAAGGGAAAGGGAUCAGAUAGUCACAAGACCACUUCUGGCCCCGAGAUCCUGUUUGAACGCAUGGUGACUGCAGUGUGACGCACAGCAGGGACAAUCUGGAAGAGCACUCAGGAGCAAAGCACGUCCUACAGGACAGUGGGGGUGGGUCUGGGCUUCAAGCACAAGGACCCUGGCAGUGCCUGAGGUCCCCAGAAGUCCCCCAAGUGCUGAAGUGAUUUGUCACUGCACAGUGCCAUGUGUCUUCACAACAGAUGUUGGAGGAUCACCCUGAAAAGGGUGGUUCUCCAAAGCAUUUAAUUAUAACCUCUGCAGAAGAUUAACAUAUGUUAUAAUUGUCUUUCCUCUUUGAUUAAAUAGUUUUUGCAUGAGUAGCUUUCUUAGAUUUUCCUUCUGUUUUGUAUGAUCUUUAUAAAGAACUGACAUGUGUCUUCAACUUUCUAGAGGGAGUUCCUCAAUGGACUGGGUAAGAAUUUUUGCAGAUUCAUAAUUUCACGUUCUCUCUCUGUCACUCUUCCUCUCUCCCUGUCUCUCUCUGUCUCUCCAGAACCUGAAAUGAGUCUAGUUGUGCUAGACCCAUUGGUUAUAAAGGCAACCAGGUGACAGAAAUAUGACUAUAGUUAGGGAACUUGUCUCUCUCUUAACCAUUUGUCCAUGGAAGUGACUGAUGCCCAUACACAUUCUAUUGGAAAAAAAAUUGCAGGAGUUCCCAUCAUGGCUCAGCAUAAACGAACCUGGCCAGGUUUAUGAGGACACGGGUUUGAUCCCUGGUCUUGCUCAGUGGGCCAAGGAUCUAGUGCUGCUGUGAGCUGUGGUGUAGAUUGGAAACCUGGCUCAGAGCUGGAGUUGCUGUGGCUGUGAUGUAGGCAGGCAGCUAUAGUUCCAAUUAGAUCCUAGCCUGGGAACUUCUGUAUGCCACAGGUGCAGCCCUAAAAAGACCAAAAAAGAAGAAAAAAAAUUGCAAAGCUGGAAAAGAAAGGUCUACAAACCUUGUCUUGUUCAGCAAUCGAGCAUGCCAGGUGCCAACAGUGUAAAUGAGUAUAUAAGUAGAGAGAGAAUGAACAUUCAUGAUAUGAAUGUCUGGAGAUUUCCUUGGCAGUAUUUGCUCUGAAAAGAUAAGUUAUCAGCCAGAAGCCUUAUCGACAUCAAAAGCGUUAUUUUCAUUCCAUUAUUGAGAACCCAGGAUUCUCUCCUUCUGUUAGAGAUGGGGUGUGUCUUCCAGAGCUUAAUUCAUCUCGCCUUCUGUUUAGCCCAUCAGAAAGGAGGAUGCCAUUAACUUUUCAUGGGUAAGAAUACUUCUUUCUAGUGUCCAAAGUAAUAUUUUCUUUCCUCGAGAAGAAAAAAAUUACAAGGAAGGAGUUCAGGCAUCAGGUCAAUUUAUUUUUGAUGAAGAUAAGGGGAAUGAACAUAAGAAAUACUGAAUCAGCAUUUUAGAAAGGUCUGCUAAACAGUUAUCCCUGCCUCGCCAUCCAGAAACAUCUGAAAAGGGCUCACAAAUCAGGACAAAGUCAAUCCUUAGAUGAACUUGUGGGAAGAGAGCAAUUACUGGCUUCAAUGGAUAAAUUAGUAUUGUCUUUAAUUGGGGGGGGAAGAAAAGACUUAGGUUGUUUUAUCAAACAGACCCCUUGUCAAUUUGAUCUGUUUUAUCUGUACUUUCCAAGAAAGAGGGAAAAAGUAUUUUCUGAGCAUGCAGGGGACUCUGAGAAUAUAAGUGCUGCUAGAAAAUCAAAAGGAAAAAUACCAGAGUUCCUGUCAUGGCUCAGUGGUUUAACAAACUGGACUAGCAUCCAUGAGGACAUGAACUCAAUCCCUGGUCUUGCUCAGUGGGUUAAGGAUCCCACAUUCCGCAGACACGACUCAGAUCCCAAGUUGCUGUGGCUACAGCUCCGAUUGGACCCCUAAGAACCUCCAUAUGCUGUGGGUUCAGCCUAAAAAGACAAAAAAGGGGGAAUACCCAUUUUUAUGGGGUUCACAUCAUUUUG